CAGGGACUUCCUAGGCCACGCCACGCCGCUCCACCAGCUCAGGGAACCCCCUUGGCCGUGCAGACCUGCGCCACAGGGUCGUUUCCUCCCCUCCUUCCCUCGAAAGCGUAUGCAUUUCGUUGCCCCUGGAACUGGGGUCAUUUCAGGACCUCCCAAGGAGGGUCAGGAUGGUGGUAUUGGCCUUAGGGGACGCGGGCUCAGGUUGGCGGUUGAACCGCAUGUUCCUGUUUCAAACAAACCUAAAUGUAGGCCUGGAAGGCUGUGCACUGAAAUCCUAGUAUUAGGUUGGUGCAAAAUUAAUUGCGAUUUUUGCCAUUGUAGGUUGUCUGCAGAGUGAGAUUAUGGCGAAGCAUUUUAUUCUUUUUACAAACCUGCUUUUUCUCAGUUUUCCACAUUGGAUUUGCCAGCUACCUGCCUUUGCAGGACACCUCAGAAGUUACAGACUUGCCUGUGGAAAUGCAGAGAGCACCUGAGGUAUUUCCCGGACUCUCCAGUAGUAGCCUUGAAUGGCUGACCAACCGCAGUCACCUGCCAGAUCUUCUCAGAACCGGCCAGCCCACCAGCGACAGGCCCAUUAAGUGGCCUGGCCCAGCCCAGAUGGAAAACCCCCUCCACGUGACUUUCUAAAGAACAUGCAUGAAGACAAAACACCAGGUGCCUCAGGUGUGACACCCUGAGGACACAUCACCUGUACAGUAUCCUAACCCACCCAAGAUGACACAGUAAGGUAAAACCACAGUAGAGCCCAGGCCUGUUUGACUCUGAAGUCCAGGCUCCUUUCCAACUUAGUGCCCUAAAGGCCUGAUUGGGGUGGGGGUAGGCAGGAAGAUUCAAGCACUGAUUGUUUGUAGCCCAGGCUGGGAGGGCAACAGCUCUAGAAAAAAAGUCACUCACUGCUUUAACCAUCUUCCAGCUAACUGCAGUGAGGUGUACAGGGCCAUGGGGCUCUGGGAUGAACUCUUCCACCUCUACACCUUGUAAACAAGGAUUCCAGACACACCCUCCAAAUGGGAAUGGAGACACACGUUUGGCAGAGUUGGACAGUAACGCUGCUCUCCUAUCAGCCUGGACUUUGAGGGGAGUGGAAAACAUGAGUGUGGAGGUGCAGCAGUCCUGGUAUCCCCUGAAACCAGCCUGUGGGGGGAACAGUCUUCCCAGGGGAGCUGCUCAGGAUCGUCCUGGUCCCAUGCAUCAGGAAGAAAAGGGAACCUGAGAGCAGAGGGAAAAUGCAGAAAGUGGGGCAGGGAGACUGCUCCCUGAAACCCCCAUGGGCUGCUGGUCCAAGCAGAAAGUGUUGUCGGAGGGGGGAGAGGCAGGGUGAAAUGGGACAGGAAACGAGGACUUCCGAUGAGGAGGAGGAGGGGGCAGUGGGCUGCGGGUCUUGGGGACUGAACAGAAUGGGGUUUGCUAGACAGAGCUUUCGUCUACCCACUCCUGAAGUCCUGCUGGACCUCAGCUGGCCCUUGUGAACUGUUGAGGGGGAUAUAAACACAAAGGCCUGCAUUCCUGUGGGUGCACAAUCCUAAGAGACCAUGGACUGCCUGUGUGUGGUGGGAACAGGAAAAGGAGGCUGAGUGUAGCCCUGCUUGGAAUUUAGUGUCCACCACAGAUGUAUCCACUACCCAGGGCCAAAGACUCGGCAGCCUCAGAAGACUCAAUGGAAGCUGAGCACAGGACUAGAAAGGGUCAGGGCCCUCCUCUGUAUGUAGGGGUGGCACAUGGCCACUAGCUGGGUGAUGGGGCACUGAGAAAUUAAAUGUUUGACAUAAAAAUGUAAUCAGGACCCGAGAGGAGGUGGGUGGUGUAAUGAACAGCAUCCUAGAAGUCCGGUACAGAUUUCACGUGUCACCUUCUAGUUCCUUAUCUGAAAUUGAAAGGUGAGGUCAGGUGCAGUGGCUCAGGCCUGUAAUCCCAGCACUUAGGGAGGCUGAGGAGGGCAUAUCAUUGAGGUCAGGUGUUUGAGACCAGCCUGGCCAACAUGGUGAAACCUCUACUAAAAAUACGAAAAUUAGCCGGCUGUGCUGCACACGCCUGUCGUCCCAGCUACUUGGGAGGCUGAGGCAGGAGAAUCCCUUGAACCUGGGAGGCAGAGGCUGCAGUGAGCUGAGAUCACACCACUGCACUCAAGCCUGGGCAUCACAGCGAGACUUCUUAAAAAAAAAAAAAAA
rnacentral:lncRNA from 1 species